rnacentral:rRNA from 1 species
ACCGGUAAACUGCGAAUGGCUCGGUAAAUCAGUUAUAGUUUAUUUGAUAGUGCAUCCUACUCGGAUAACCGUAGUAACACUAGAGCUAAUACGUGCGUAAAUCCCGACUUUUGGAAGGGACGUAUUUAUUAGAUUUAUGGCCAGCCGGGCUUGCCCGACCAGCGGUGAAUCAUGGUAACUUGACGGAUUGCAUGGCCUCCGUGCCGGCGACGUGUCAUUCAAGUUUCUGCCCCAUCAGGUUUCGACUGUAGUGUAUUGGACUACAGUGCCUAUAACGGGUAGCGGAGGAUUAGGGUUCGAUUCCGGAGAGGGAGCCUGAGAAACGGCUACCACAUCCAAGGAAGGCAGCAGGCGCGCAAAUUACCCAAUCCCAACUCAGGGAGGUAGUGACAAGAAAUAGCAAUGCGGGGCUUCUUGCUCUGCAAUUGGAAUGAGAACAAUUUAAAUCACUUAACGAGUAUCAAUUGGAGGGCAAGUCUGGUGCCAGCAGCCGCGGUAAUUCCAGCUCCAAUAGCGUAUAUGUAAGUUGUUGCGAUUAAAAAGCCCGUAGCUGAACCUCGGGCAACCCUGACGGUCCGCGUUUCGUGAGUACUGUCGUGGGUUGUCUUUCUGGCAAGACCGUAUCUCGGCGUUAACUCGCCGGGAACGGCGCUUGCCAAGGUUACUUUGAGUAAAAUAGAGUGUUCAAAGCAAGCUCGCGCUCUGAAUACACUAGCAUGGGAUAACACGACAUGACCGAUGGUCUAUCUUGUUGGCCUGUAGACCUGUUGGUAAUGGCUAAUAGGGACGGUCGGGGGCAUUCGUAUUUCGCUGUCAGAGGUGAAAUUCUUGGAUUUGCGAAAGACGAACUACUGCGAAAGCAUUUGCCAAGGACGCUUUCAUUAGUCAAGGACGAAAGUCGGGGGAUCGAAGACGAUUAGAUACCGUCGUAGUCUCGACCAUAAACGAUGCCAAUUAGGGAUUGGAGGGCGGAUCCAAUAUGCCUCCUCCAGCACCUUCCGCGAAAGCAAAUUUAUGGGCUUCGGGGGGA